rnacentral:tRNA from 1 species
GGAAGGUUGUCCGAGCUGGCCGAAGGAGCACGCCUGGAAAGUGUGUUGGCGUCACAAGCGUCUCAAGGGUUCGAAUCCCUUACCUUCCG